UGUAGCCUUGCUGCAACAAGCCUCCUUUUUGUGGUCUCUCCUGGAGGACUAAGAGAGGAUUUGUGUUCACGCACCUGAGUGCUAAGGAGGAGCUUCUUUGGGAGUUUUCGCCUUUCCAUCUUGAUUUUGUAGAAAGCAGACAUCCCCUGUGUAGAAGCAGGAGGAUGUUACUGACAAAGUGAUGGCCCAGCUCUAUUCCAUCCAGUGCUUGCGCCAGAUACCCAAGGCACUGCAGGGACUGUGCCCCUUGGGACAUCUUACAGUUACCCCCCCGCCCAGCACCUGCCUGUCCAGCAGCUCAGACUCCCUGCUGCAGGAAGAGAGUCCCCAGUUUAAGAUUCACGAUCCCAGAUCUGCAAGGCUCCAGGUGGAGAGUGCCUGGGAGUACCAGGAAAUCAUCUAGGGAACAAAGAAGAUCCAUGCCCUUCUGCUGAGACAGUCCCCACCUUGAUCCUGGUUCAUGCCUCCGUGUACCGUUCUGCCCUCCAGUUCCUGGCUAUUGACUCUGGCUUGAUCCUCAGCUCUGGUCUCUGGCUACUGACCUUGGCAUGACCCUAAGCUCUAGAUGUUGGCUACGAACUCUUGCUCAGUAUUAUCCUUGCCCUCCUCUAGCCUCUCUCCAGCCCCACCAACAACCCACUCCAGCCUUGCCUCCUCCUCCUGAUCCUCCCCCAAACCCUUGGACUCUGAUUACCUGGCUUCAACCUUCUGCCUGUAACUGGAAUGUGGCUUAAUAUCGACUUGGCUUUCCUUUGGACUCUGACCACCUGGCUUCGAUCUCUGGCGUGCACCUGGACUCUGGCUACGGUUCUGAUUCUGGUUUGUCUAUGGACUGUGAUCUUGGUUUUGACCCCGGAUCUCGAUUCCCUCACCAUCCUUCACCCAGGCCCAACCCUAUGCCUAACUGUGACCUACGCUUCAACCACUAGGCCUAAUUAUCGGUGGCAGCACCUGACACCAAGUGGUGCAAAUUUUUGCAGAAAAGAAGGCCCUCCACACAUAAAAGUGUCCCAUACGCAAAAGGGGACACAUCA